CACCAUUCAGUUUUGAGUGAAGGUGGGCAUGUGGAAUCCCCACGGUCCGAGACCGUAUCCCUUCUAAGAGAUUCUUCUGCCUGCCCACCUGACAGGUCCCAACGGAUGUUUCUGUUACUCUUUAUGGUUCCGAGUAAGCCGCCAGAGGGAGCAGCCUGUCCCGAGCCCUGCCUCGCCCCCCGCUCAGAAAUCGCCCCCACUUUGUGUUUCUAGACUGAUGUAAGUGACGUCCAACACUAUUUGUUGGGCAGUGUUUUGCCAAGCUCUUUCCUGAGCGACUUCUUUACUGCUCAACAGAGAAGAGGAAGGAUACCAAGAACCUCUUGAGCUAGUAGGGAAUUAGUUUUGGCCAUAAGAAAUUAUCUUAAACGUGUUUAUUCGACACAUGGUUUCUCUGUGUGGCCCUGGCUGUUGGGAAUUCUUUAGACCAGACUGGCCUCAAACUGCCUGCUCUGCCUCCCUAGCGCUGGGAUUAAGGGAGGUUACCACCACACCUAGGCACUCUUUUGAACUUGAUAACAGACUGUAACCAACAAGGUAGGAUUUCUACUAGGGAGGGAAGAGAAACUACUGAAGCACCCCGAAAAGAAAAGGAACAAAGAGCGUGUAAUUAUGAGAUUCGGCACUCCAGAGGCAGAGGCAGGCAGAACUCUAUAUGCGGCUUGGUGUACACAAUUUCAUGCCAGACUGAGCUACGUAAGACCCUGACUCAAAAACACACCCUCCCCACCCAAGCCAGGAGGAUACUUGCAGUUUGGGAAGUCCGAAGCAGAAUCUCUUGAAUCCUUGGCAGUAUGAUGAGUUUCAGGCUCUUAUAAAGCCUUCGAGCCUGCUAGAGAGGCCCAGUUGGUACGAUAAUACUUAUUCACCAAGCUGGUCAUCGACGAGAGUGAGGAUAUCCUAGACGGAGCAAGAAUGGGCAGAGGCUGAAGAGCCGACUAUGAAGCCAUAGAAAAUUGAUUCUACAUAGCCUCUUUUACAAGGCGAUCUUUUUCUUUUUAACCUUAAAGUACAGGAAAAAUGAAAAGUGGACAAGAACACUUUGGAGAUAAUAUGCAUUGGCUCCUAGUGUCCAGAAAGACAUGCACGGAAAGAACGCAGAGUUAGCUAAAGAAAUACCACAGUUUAUUGAAGACUACAAAUAUUUUUUGUUACAAGUUGGAACUACAUGCCUUCCAGAAAUCAAAAGCAACAGCAGGCGUGUGCAUUGAUGCUUCGGAGGUGCUGCACCGCUCGAACUCGAAAUGGGUAAGACAGGGUCAGACACAUGGGGGAGAGGGAGAUGGGGAGGG